AAUGAACGUUGGCGGCGUGGAUUAGGCAUGCAAGUCGCGCGAUAAGUGUAGCAAUACACGGACAGCGGCGAAAGGGAGAGUAAUACAUAGGUACGUACCCUUGGGACUGGGAUAGCGGCGGGAAACUGCCGGUAAUACCAGAUGACGUUUCCGAACCAAAGGUGUGAAUCCGCCUGAGGAGCGGCCUAUGUCCUAUUAGCUUGUUGGCGAGGUAACGGCUCACCAAGGCAAAGAUGGGGUAUGGGGGUGUGAGAGCAUGCCCCCACCUACU
rnacentral:rRNA from 1 species